GUAAGGGUAUGAAUACCUGCAGGCUCGGCUCACCUCAACUUGGAGGUUGGCUUCCACCGAUCCACAUGUGCCUCCCAACCACCAAAAUACGCAGUGUGCAUGGAAGGGUGGAGACAGAGGGCAUAGAGAGUUUCCUUGGGCCAGAAGAGACCUCGUUUCAGAAACUGAUCUUCUCUGUUUUACAGGGAGAUCACAAGAUGGCGGCAGACCCAGGACCGGUCACCACUGCCUAUUUACUUUCUUACAUUCCCAUCUCCUGACUGCGAGGUGGGGCGGCGGGACUAGCUCCCGCAGCAGUCCUUGACGGAAAGUGCCAGGUGUCACUCCCAGGCUGAGGCCUUGGAAGCCAUGCCUGAGUCUCCUGUGACUUUUCCCCACCUCAGCAGCCGCUAACUCCAGAGAGCGGACCUGCAGCAGGUGUUUUCCCUGGGCCCUGACUGGCAGCGCAGCCGGAGGAGAGACCCUGCAGAGCCACCUGGCGCAGGGUACCAGUACAUGAAAUGAACGUAAUACUCUAAGACAGAGCAGAAUGUUCAUCUGAGUCCCACCAAGUAACCUGAUUACUGCUAAAGUAAAAUUUUAAAAUGA